GGAUCCUCGACAGGAUGGACGACAGCGAGACUUACAUGAAUAUGAAACCCAUAAAAACCGGCUCACGGGCUCCUUCCCGAGACCAUCUGACCUCCACCUGCACCGAGCUGAACAUUCGGAAAGUCGAACGCCUCACCAAUGCACAGGCAGCUGCGCAAGAACAGGAGUCGAAAGUGAAGAUCGGAAAUAGACCGCACCGUCUGAUCUGC